GACGAACGCUGGCGGCGUGCUUAACACAUGCAAGUCGAACGGAAAGGCCCUGCUUUUGUGGGGUGCUCGAGUGGCGAACGGGUGAGUAACACGUGAGUAACCUGCCCUUGACUUUGGGAUAACUUCAGGAAACUGGGGCUAAUACCGGAUAGGAUCUCCUGCUGCAUGGUGGGGGUUGGAAAGUUUCGGCGGUUGGGGAUGGACUCGCGGCUUAUCAGCUUGUUGGUGGGGUAGUGGCUUACCAAGGCUUUGACGGGUAGCCGGCCUGUGAGGGUGGACGGGCACAUUGCGACUGCGAGACGGACCAGACUCCUACGGGAGGCAGCGGUGGGAAAUAUUACACAAUGAGCGGAAGCCUGAUGCAGAGACGCCGCGUGCGUGAUGACGUCCUUCUGGGUAUAAACCGCUUUCGCCUGAGACGAAGCGGGAGUGACGGUAAUGGGUAAAGAAGCACCGGCUAACUACGUG
rnacentral:rRNA from 1 species